rnacentral:rRNA from 1 species
UACGGAGGGUGCAAGCGUUGUCCGGAAUCACUGGGCGUAAAGGGCGCGUAGGCGGCUCAUGAAGGCUGUGGUGAAAGUCCGGGGCUCAACCUCGGAUCGGCCGUGGCGACUCGUGGGCUGGAGCACUGUAGAGGCGGGUGGAAUUCCGGGUGUAGCGGUGGAAUGCGUAGAUAUCUGGAAGAACACCAAAGGCGAAGGCAGUGUCCUGGGUGGUCGCUGACGCUGAGAGGCGAAAGCCAGGGGAGCGAACGGG